CGUAUAUUAAAGUUGUUGCAGUUAAAAAGCUCGUAGUUGGAUUUGUGGCGUUCGGUGGGUACCGGGCACUUGUUGUCUGAGUUACUCGCUGAUGCCAUCCUUGGGUGGAGCCUGUGAGGCAUUAAGUUGCUUUGNGGGGAUGCCCAUCUUUUACUGUGAAAAAAUUAGAGUGUUCAAAGCAGGCUUAUGCCGUUGAAUAUAUUAGCAUGGAAUAAUGAGAUAGGACUUUUUCGCUAUUUUGUUGGUUUGCGCGAAGAGGUAAUGAUUAAUAGGGACAGUUGGGGG
rnacentral:rRNA from 1 species